rnacentral:rRNA from 1 species
UACGUAGGGGGCAAGCGUUGUCCGGAUUUAUUGGGCGUAAAGAGCGUGUAGGCGGCCAAGCAGGUCCGCUGUGAAAACUCGAGGCUCAACCUCGAGACGUCGGUGGAAACCGUUUGGCUAGAGUCCGGAAGAGGAGAGCGGAAUUCCUGGUGUAGCGGUGAAAUGCGCAGAUAUCAGGAGGAACACCGGUGGCGAAGGCGGAUCUCUGGGCCAUUACUGACGCUGAGGAGCGAAAGCGUGGGGAGCGAACAGG